GGCUAAAUGGCAAAGUCGGAAUAUUUGAGCAAGCUAAGUCUUUGAAAACAUUAGAAGGCGAUAGCCUCAUAACCUGAAGGCCGCAGGUUCAAAUCCUGCCCCCGCAACCA
rnacentral:tRNA from 1 species